UCGAGCGCAAUCGGCCUAACCCGAAUCCUAAUCACCUCUCCGGAAUAUCAGGCGUACUUUACCCGAAACGAUCGUCUUGAACAAUUUGCAAGGAGCGGUAACGCGAAUACUAACCCAGAAUUCCGUGUAAUUCAAGCUCUGUGAAACCCGAGAGCCGAAUGUAAUAACCCGGAGAAUUAAAGAUUGCAGAGUCCAGGAAGUGAGGGAAUUCGAGGGAAUUGGUAUAAUCACAGGAAUCCCGGCGAAUGAUCGAAUCGAGAUGUCCGCGAUGCCGGGAGAUGUGAGAGAUUCGCGAGCUGUAGAAAUUCAAGGAUAUAAACAUUUGAAACACGGAAGUCUGAGAUUUGAGGAAUCGGAUUUACCCAAGGUUUCGUUACCUUAAGGAGUUAUAAACGUUCAUUUUGAUGUUCGACGAAGUAGCACAAAUAGGCGAUGCACCGGCAAUCGGUCCAUUAUUAAACCAAUACCUGCGCUGUCGCUCUGCAAAGUUCUUCGACUUCCGUAACGCAACGGAGCCCGAUACGACGCACGUCAAUUAAGCCAAUUUGUCUGAAAAUGCGCUUCGUCAGGCGGCAAGGUCAACCGGUGGCAUCAUCUCCGACAAUUUUCCUCGUGUUCGUCCCGCCGGAUUUAAAGACGGUCAUCGAACGCGGCCGGUCAUCAUAUGGAUCGGUCGCGUCUUUCGUCGCGCUCGCUCUCGCAUAUUCCCGUAAUGAAGUGCCCGCCGACGUAGAGAAAAGGAGGAAGCCCGGCAAUUUUCAGUUACAUCGCGGAAUUUUCCAAAUUCGCGUGCCAGCCUGCGCGGAGCGCUUCAAGGUAUAAAUAUGAAACGGCUUGUGCGUCGCAAACAGUUUAGAAUAGACUGGAUGGAGUCUCAUGUAUGAUGUGAAAUUACAGUUAUAAAUAUUUCACUUUUGGAGAGAAGGAGACAACACAGAGAGACGCGAAAGUAAAAAGUGUGGAAUUAGAAAGGAGAGCGACGAACACGUCUUAAGUGUAAACAAAUGCACGUAAAUUUAGAUAAGAAAAAUCGAACAUGCACAGAGAAAUGCAGAGAUUAAAGCGAACAUAUUGUUAAGUUCGUCUGUAGAUUGUCCGCAUGAUUUUUCAAUAUUCAUGCGACCGAUUUGCUUAACCGAUUUUAAGAUACUUAAGAUAAAAGAUACUUUAACUACCAGGGAAAUAAAGAAACCGGGCGUUGCUCGUUUCUCCUUCAUCGUGUGAAAGUUCCACGGAAAUCGUUCUUCCUCUUUUGACGUGUAAUUGCACAAAACGUGUGCCGUCUGAAUUAGGACUGGGCCCAUGAAAAGUCGCGCGUUUCUUUCGACUUUCAUUUCGCAGAUGUUACUUUUAACAAGGAAAGAUGAAAUCGUUAUUUUACUUGAUUACAACGUGCUGAGAGAAAGAGAGAAAGAGAGAGAGAGAGAGAGACAAUGCGUCGAAUAUUAUCAAUACAUUAACAGUACGUGUCGUUACAAAGAGCGGCGGUAAGUAAGACACACGAUAAGAAUAUUGUAAAGCGCACGUUCGCCUGCAUAAUGUGCGCGAAGAUUGUUAGAAAAGAUGUUUAUGCCAGAUGUAAGCAAUCUCGUUAACUAUAUUUUGCAAAUUACUCGGGAAUCAUUGAAUCGUGCCGUUACAACGGUGGAACUAUAAAUACACGUUGUAAACUU